rnacentral:rRNA from 1 species
UACGGGGGGGGCAAGCGUUGUUCGGAAUUACUGGGCGUAAAGGGUUUGUAGGUGGCCCGCUAAGUCACACGUGAAAUCCCUCAGCUUAACUGGGGAACUGCGUGUGAGACUGGCAGGCUCGAGGGCAGGAGAGGAACGCGGAAUUCCAGGUGUAGCGGUGAAAUUCGUAGAUAUUGGGAAGAACACCGGUGGCGAAGGCGGCAUCCUGGACCGAGAUUGACGCUGAGGCGCGAAAGCUAGGGUAGCAAACGGG